AACGCGAAGAACCUUACCUGGGCUCGAAGCGCAGUGGACCGGGGUAGAAAUAUCCCUUUCUCGCAAGAGACUGCUGCGGAGGUGCUGCAUGGCUGUCGUCAGCUCGUGUCGUGAGAUGUUGGGUUAAGUCCCGCAACGAGCGCAACCCUUAUCCCUAGUUGCCAUCGGGUCAAGCCGGGCACUCUAGUGAAACCGCCCCGGAUAACGGGGAGGAAGGUGGGGAUGACGUCAAGUCCUCAUGGCCUUUAUGUCCAGGGCUACACACGUGCUACAAUGGCCGGAACAACGGGCAGCCAGACCGCGAGGUCGAGCGAAUCCCAUAAAGCCGGUCUCAGUUCGGAUUGCAGGCUGCAACUCGCCUGCAUGAAGUCGGAAUCGCUAGUAACCGCAGAUCAGCUACGCUGCGGUGAAUACGUUCCCGGGCCUUGUACACACCGGAGUA
rnacentral:rRNA from 1 species